UACGGAGGGCGCAAGCGUUACUCGGAAUCACUGGGCGUAAAGGGCGCGUAGGCGGCCUAGCAAGUCUGGUGUGAAAGCCCAGGGCUCAACCCUGGAAGGGCACUGGAAACUGUUAGGCUUGAGUUCCGGAGAGGAGGGGGGAAUUCCCGGUGUAGCGGUGAAAUGCGUAGAUAUCGGGAGGAAGACCGGUGGCGAAGGCGCCCCUCUGGGCGGAAACUGACGCUGAGGCGCGAAAGCGUGGGGAGCAAACAGG
rnacentral:rRNA from 1 species